AAAGGUAAGCUACUAAGAGCGAAUGGUGGAUGCCUUGACUGGUAAAGGCGAUGAAGGACGUACUAGACUGCGAUAAGCUACGGGGAGCUGUCAAGAAGCUUUGAUCCGUAGAUUUCCGAAUGGGGCAACCCAAUGUAUAGAGAUAUGCAUUACCUAUAUAGGAGCGAACGAGGGGAAUUGAAACAUCUUAGUACCCUCAGGAAAAGAAAUCAAUAGAGAUUGCGUCAGUAGCGGCGAGCGAAAGCGCAAGAGGGCAAACCCAGUGCUUGCACUGGGGGUUGUAGGACUGCAAUGUGCAAGAGCUGAGUUUAGCAGAACAUUCUGGAAAGUAUAGCCAUAGAGGGUGAUAGUCCCGUAUGCGAAAAACAAAGCUUAGCUAGCAGUAUCCUGAGUAGGGCGGGACACGAGGAAUCCUGUCUGAAUCCGGGUCGACCACGAUCCAACCCUAAAUACUAAUACCAGAUCGAUAGUGCACAAGUACCGUGAGGGAAAGGUGAAAAGAACUGAGGUGAUCAGAGUGAAAUAGAACCUGAAACCAUUUGCUUACAAUCAUUCAGAGCACUAUGUAGCAAUACAGUGUGAUGGACUGCCUUUUGCAUAAUGAGCCUGCGAGUUGUGGUGUCUGGCAAGGUUAAGCAAACGCGAAGCCGUAGCGAAAGCGAGUCUGAAUAGGGCGCUUAGUCAGAUGCUGCAGACCCGAAACGAAGUGAUCUAUCCAUGAGCAAGUUGAAGCUAGUGUAAGAACUAGUGGAGGACUGAACCCAUAGGCGUUGAAAAGCCCCGGGAUGACUUGUGGAUAGGGGUGAAAGGCCAAUCAAACUUCGUGAUAGCUGGUUCUCUCCGAAAUAUAUUUAGGUAUAGCGUUGUGUCGUAAUAUAAGGGGGUAGAGCACUGAAUGGGCUAGGGCAUACACCAA
rnacentral:rRNA from 1 species